GACAGAGGGUGCAAACGUUGUUCGGAAUUACUGGGCGUAAAGCGUGUGUAGGCGGCCAUGCAAGUCGGAUGUGAAAGCCCUGGGCUCAACCCAGGAAGUGCACUCGAAACUGCGUGGCUUGAGUGUGGGAGAGGUGCGUGGAAUUCCCGGUGUAGCGGUGAAAUGCGUAGAUAUCAGGAGGAACACCGGCGGCGAAGGCGGCCCUCUGGAUCGUUGCUGACGCUGAGACGCGAAAGCGUGGGGAGCAAACAGG
rnacentral:rRNA from 1 species